GUCAAAUUAAAUUUUUAUAUUUUGGUAUAAUAGGUUAGACGGUUAUCAAAAUAAGUUAUAAAUUAAGCAAAAAUAAUUUCACUAUAUGCAUAUAAAUUAAAUAAAACAUUUUGGAAUAAGAAUUUACUGAAGAAAAUAUACUUAUGUUUGCAUAAAUUUAAAGAUUGUUCAGACCUGAAAUAUUACAAUAUACUUGCUCCGCCAAAUUUACUACCAAUACAGUAGUACAGUCGAUUUUUGAUGCCUCUGCAAAUUCUCAUUAUUCAUUUUGAAAUAUUUUCUGUGGCUUACUACUCGCAGUGUGGUUUGACGCAUAAAAAAAAGUACAGCCACGCACCUUCCUUGAAAAUAAUUUGGUUUCACUAAUGUUGCUAGCAGUGUAAAAAAAAUGUACUGAACUACUGACGAUUGGCAAUACAAAAAAAUGGUAUUGGAAUAAUAUACAUAUUAUUAUAAUGUAGAAAGGAUAAUCCAUUUAUUUGAUACCAUAAUAUAAUAUGUUGAUUUAUUUUAAAUUCAGGAUUUUCAACGAAUAUAUAGUAUAAAUGGCGAAAGAGGGUUUUCUUUCGCACCAUCGAAUUUGUCGUAUAUAUUAUAUACGGCGAAGAGAGCAUUUCAAGUGUUGAACGAAUAUCUUUAAAGACAUACAGACAGACGGCAGUUGUCGAGUUUAUUGUGUACGACUGAGC